AGCCGCCGCCGGGCCGUGCCCGCCGAGCUCCGGGGCAGCGCCGCGCUGCCCGUCCUUCAGCCGCCUCCAUUCGUGCCUCGACGGACGCGGGAGGAGACGGGCGAGGGGGGACGCGCGGAGCCACGGGGCAGCCGGAGGACGGGGCCAGCGCCCGCGGCGGCGGUACCUGAUGAUGUCGUCCUGGUGCCCCAGGUAGAAUUUCUGCCGGUGCUCCCGGGGGCUGUAGACCACGCCGACCCCAGCCACGAAGUAGACGAUCUCCUUGGCGGCCGUGUAGUAGAGGUUGUUGCGGCACUGGUGACCCCGGUAACCGUAGACCCACUCCAGCCGCAGGUGGCAGCUCGGCGCGCUCCGGUCAGCCAUGUCCUCCCGCCCCCGCCACGCAGCUGGAUUUUGGCUUUUCACUGCUGUCCCGAACGAACGAGCACCUCGCUUUCCCUGCCAACCCACCGCCCCCCAGCUCUCACCAGUCUCCUCACGUCGUCACUGCUUGCCCAGCAUGCUGCCUGAAGCUCAUCCAAGAAGAAAAGGUCAACUGUAAUUUUUAAUGACUAGUAAUUAACCCCACUGCCUGUGUCACACACCACGCAACAGUUACUCCCUCAUCCAUGCCUUAAUUUCUUCAUCUAUUCAAGAAGAGCACUCCAUUUCUCACCCACAGAUCUCAAAGCCACCAGAAAGCUAUACGGUCUCGGCGUGACCUGUCCCUUAGAAGCCCGUGACCGCUGGCCGCGUGUCACCUCUUGGCAGUGUGUCACCUCCAGUCACGCGCAGCGCGCUCGGGGCCCGGAGCGGAGCUGUCUGUGGUGCUGAGCUCGAUGUGUGGGUUCCUACGCGGCCUGGUCGUACAGAAGGAACACAGUUGUUCAGAGGCGAUAGGCUGGGAUAUGAGCAAGCUUUUAGCACUGGAACAGACUGGCUACAGAUUGCAAUAGGCUGUGGAUUCUCCAUCCUCAGAGAUCAUCUUAUCUCAUCUGGACGAGGCCCUGAGCGAUGUCACCCAACAUUGAAGUUGACCCUGUUUAGAGCAG